AUACAGAGGGUGCGAGCGUUAAUCGGAUUUACUGGGCGUAAAGCGUGCGUAGGCGGCUUUUUAAGUCGGAUGUGAAAUCCCUGAGCUUAACUUAGGAAUUGCAUUCGAUACUGGGAAGCUAGAGUAUGGGAGAGGAUGGUAGAAUUCCAGGUGUAGCGGUGAAAUGCGUAGAGAUCUGGAGGAAUACCGAUGGCGAAGGCAGCCAUCUGGCCUAAUACUGACGCUGAGGUACGAAAGCAUGGGGAGCAAACAGGAGUAGAAACCCUAGUAGUCC
rnacentral:rRNA from 1 species